CAUCGGUGCUCCGCAAUCUGACGCUGCCAACCCCGCCAGGCCCGGAAGGGAGCAACGGUAACAGUGCCCCAGAGGUGCCGGAGGUCUGCUGGUGGGU
rnacentral:SRP_RNA from 1 species